rnacentral:lncRNA from 1 species
CCCCAAACUCGAAUGGGAUCAGUUGAACCGAACCAGACCCAACCAGGGGUCCACUAAACCUACCGCAGGCCCAGUGGGGCUUUAUAACUCAACCCGACUCGACAAGGGCCCACUCGAUCAAACCUAAAUUUAUAAGGGCCCAUAUACAUGGAUUGGGCCAUCAAGUUACCUUCUCAAGUAAAGGCCUAAUUGGGUAACACUCCUUAUUUUGAUGGUGGGCC